AUACGGAGGGUGCGAGCGUUAAUCGGAAUUACUGGGCGUAAAGCGCGCGUAGGUGGCUUGAUAAGCCGGUUGUGAAAGCCCCGGGCUCAACCUGGGAACGGCAUCCGGAACUGUCAAGCUAGAGUGCAGGCGAGGAAGGUAGAAUUCCCGGUGUAGCGGUGAAAUGCGUAGAGAUCGGGAGGAAUACCAGUGGCGAAGGCGGCCUUCUGGACUGACACUGACACUGAGUUGCGAAAGCGUGGGUAGCAAACAGGAUUAGAUACCCUGGUAGUCCACGCCGUAAACGAUGUCGACCAGCCGUUGGGUGCCUAGCGCACUUUGUGGCGAAGUUAACGCGAUAAGUCGACCGCCUGGGGAGUACGGCCGCAAGGUUAAAACUCAAAUGAAUUGACGGGG
rnacentral:rRNA from 1 species